UACGUAGGGGGCGAGCGUUGUCCGGAAUUACUGGGCGUAAAGGGCGCGCAGGCGGCCGUGUAAGUCCGCUGUGAAAGACCGGGGCUCAACCCCGGGGUGUCAGCGGGGACUGCACGGCUGGAGUCCCGGAGAGGGAGGCGGAAUACCUGGUGUAGCGGUGGAAUGCGUAGAGAUCAGGUGGAACACCGAUGGCGAAGGCAGCCUCCUGGACGGGUACUGACGCUGAGGCGCGAAAGCGUGGGUAGCAAACAGG
rnacentral:rRNA from 1 species